rnacentral:rRNA from 1 species
UACAGAGGUGGCAAGCGUUGUUCGGAAUUACUGGGCGUAAAGGGCGCGUAGGCGGGCCUGUAUGUCGAUUGUGAAAGCCCUGGGCUUAACCUGGGAAUGGCAGUCGAAACUGCAGGUCUUGAGUGCCUGAGAGGAUGGCGGAAUUCCCGGUGUAGAAGUGAAAUUCGUAGAUAUCGGGAAGAACACCUGAGGCGAAGGCGGCUGUCUGGCGGUGCACUGACGCUGAGGCGCGAAAGCGUGGGGAGCAAACAGG